CCUACGGGUGGCUGCAGUGGGGAAUAUUGGACAAUGGGCGAAAGCCUGAUCCAGCCAUGCCGCGUGUGUGAAGAAGGCCUUCGGGUUGUAAAGCACUUUCAGUGGGGAAGAAAGCCUUGGGGCUAAUACCCUCGAGGAAGGACAUCACCCACAGAAGAAGCACCGGCUAACUCCGUGCCAGCAGCCGCGGUAAUACGGAGGGUGCGAGCGUUAAUCGGAAUUACUGGGCGUAAAGCGCGCGUAGGCGGUCUGAUAAGCCGGUUGUGAAAGCCCCGGGCGCAACCUGGGAACGGCAUCCGGAACUGUCAGGCUAGAGUGCAGGAGAGGAAGGUAGAAUUCCCGGUGUAGCGGUGAAAUGCGUAGAGAUCGGGAGGAAUACCAGUGGCGAAGGCGGCCUUCUGGACUGACACUGACGCUGAGGUGCGAAAGCGUGGGUAGCAAACAGGAUUAGAUACCCUAGUAGUC
rnacentral:rRNA from 1 species